GACGAACGCUGGCGGCGUGCUUAACACAUGCAAGUCGAGCGGUAAGGCCUCUUCGGGGGUACACGAGCGGCGAACGGGUGAGUAACACGUGGGUGACCUGCCCUCAGCUCUGGGAUAAGCCUGGGAAACUGGGUCUAAUACCGGAUAUGACCUUUCCUCGCAUGGGGUCUGGUGGAAAGUUUUUUCGGCUGGGGAUGGGCCCGCGGCCUAUCAGCUUGUUGGUGGGGUGAUGGCCUACCAAGGCGACGACGGGUAGCCGGCCUGAGAGGGCGACCGGCCACACUGGGACUGAGACACGGCCCAGACUCCUACGGGAGGCAGCAGUGGGGAAUAUUGCGCAAUGGGCGGAAGCCUGACGCAGCGACGCCGCGUGGGGGAUGACGGCCUUCGGGUUGUAAACCUCUUUCGACCCCGACGAAUUUGGACGGUAGGGGUAGAAGAAGCACCGGCCAACUACGUG
rnacentral:rRNA from 1 species